GCCAGGUGUGGUGGUGCAUGCCUGUAAUCCCAGCGACUCGGGAGGCUGAUACAGGAGGCUGUAAAGUUCAAAGCCAUCCUCAGCAACUUUGUGAGUUCCUAAGCAACUUAGUGAGAUUCUGUCUCAA
rnacentral:sRNA from 1 species